GGCAAAGACAAGAAAUAUGGGAUCAUCCAAGCUUCAAUUCACUUCUCUCCUCAUCUUUUCCCUUAUUCUCCUCUCUCAUUCUCUUGGGGCCAUGGCGCAAGAUCCAGGGAGUGAUUGCGACUUUGUAGGGUCAUGCAAGAAUAAGGCAGACUGUGCAAAACCUUGCGGAGCAAAAGGCCAUUCUCCUACUGCUGUCUUGUGUGUUCCAAAUCCUAACGGUGGAAAGCGUUGUUGUUGUAUUAUUGCUUGAUAACUACGAUUUCCGAGUUGUUUCUUAAUAACUCUACCAUCAAAUAAGUAUUUUUAAUAAAAUAAUAUAAAUAAAAUAAAUUUAUUUUUCCA